UACCUUUGCAACCGAAUUAGGAAAACCCCAAUUCAUACAUAAUAAUCAUUUAAACAAUAUUAGCAUG
rnacentral:ncRNA from 1 species